GGACCGGCUGGCGCUAGACCCGGCGCGAGGGCGGCGGUGGGGGAGGGGUGGCGGCUCCACGCGCCCGCGCUGCGUCAGUCGCCCGCGGCGGCGGCGGCGGCGGCGGCGGCGGCGGCAGCGGCGAAGGAGAAGGAGGUAGCCCCGCGAUCGCUAAGGAAUGCGGCGGCUCCGCAUAACCACGGGGUCAGAGGUCACGGCUCCGGCCUCCGCUUUCCCGCUCUACUGCGAGGCCAAGACCGGACUGGCGGCGGGGCGGGAAAGCGAGACGCGGCUUUCCCUUCGGCGCCCGGGUGUGUGCGUGUCUGCCGUGGGUGUGUGUGAGUGUGUGUGAAGAGUGAGGAGGGGGAGUGUGGGGUUUUUUUUUUUUUGAACAAAAACAAACCGAAAGGGCGGCUGGGAGUCGUAGUCCCGGCUGCCUCUCUGGCCUCCCCCGCUCCGGAAGAAUAUGGCUGAGUGAAACUCUUGGACCACACUUCCCAGCGUGCCCCGCGGCCCGUCUUUUCCGCCCUCCCCUCCCUUCCUCUGCCCCGCGCAGAGCUCGAAUUUCUUUGAAGUCAACACAGGUGCCACAGGACAGUAUAAGAUAAACGGGACUGAUAUCCAACCCUGCCCUGUUUGGGGAUCACAGGCUCUGGGGAAGGCCAGGCACCCUGUGGUGAGGACACUCAAGCAGCCAUAUGGAGAGGUGAGGUCUACACGGCCAGUAGCCCCACACAAGCUUUCAGAUGACUUCAGCCCUGGCUACCAUCUUGAGAGAUCAACCUCAUAAGAGAUCCAGAGCCAGAAUCACCCAAAUAUGCUGCUCCUGGGAACCCUCCACACAAGCUCUAGGGGAGCAGGGAUUUUUUCCUGUUGUGUUCAAAACAGUACUUACUGCUGAAUACAUUACUGAAUCCUCCACAGAGCUCCACAAGAAUGUGCCAGCCCUGGGAGCAGGAGCUUCAUCCUGGACCCCGAGGACUAGAGUGAGGCCCACAACAUAGUAGGUACUCAAAAAAAUGAAGACAGGAAUCUGGUGCUAAAGCCCUGGCUCUUCUCACUGCCCCAGGACAACCAAGCAAAGACGAGGGAUCCCUGCAUUGAACACACCCCUCACGGAAAUCUGCGCCCCCCGCCCCCAAGCACGCUCUGAGCACCGGAUCUGAGCCACUGAUCACUUCGAAUUGUACAUAUUUGUGAAUGACGAUACCUCCCUACCAGAAUGGGAGCUCCGGAAGCCCUGAGCCAUAUGUAGCCCAUGACAUGUGGCACAGAGUUUGAACAGCAUUAUGUAAAUCUUUUGUUCACUGGCCAAAGAAGAUAAAUUUCAAAACCAGUG